CCUGGCUGUGUUGAUGAUUCACAUUCACUGUUUCCAGCCUUUCCUGUCUCUAACUUACCAGGUGGUGGAAGAUCCUGUUUGGUUUGACUAUAAGUACUAUGUGUCUAUGAUACUCACUACAAGAAUCUUCCUAAUCACAGUUGUGGAGUUUGACAAUCCGUGCUUCGGGCUCUUCCAAUCAUCCCAAUGAAAUUCCUGUUAUUCCUUGAGUUGAUUUGUGCCUCUACUAUCCUGGUCUUUUGUUUUCCCUCUGGAAGGAACUCAGUUGAUGAAAGCAACUAUGUGGCUGAAGAACAACUCAUUAGGCCUGUGAUAGGCACAGGAUCUUCUCAGGAACCAGAAGACUCACAAGAAAGUUCUGAGAACAGUGGUGGCGAUGUGCUUGACAUCGCUGGUGUGAUUCCUGAGACGGUACCCCGGGGGAUCAUAUAUGUUUAUAACCUUAUAUCCAUAAUAAGAGGACUCAAUUUGUAAACCUCCUUACUUUUUAUUCAUUUGUAGGUGUCAUGAUUAUUCUCUGUAGUUUUAUAAGGUAGAUUCAUAUUUUCUUAUAAGAUAUGUCAAGGAUUCUGUGAACCUGCCUGACUUAAUGAAAUAAGAUGUUUUUGGAUCUACUAUUUAGACUUCUCCACCUACCUUCAGUUUUAUUUUCUCUAACUAUUUACACUGAUGGCUGUAUCCUUCAUCUAUAACUUUCAUCUUAUUUGUAAUAAAUGAGUAUUACCAAUAAAUAACUGUAGUUAUUAGCUUUA